UGUAACGUCGCGCCACUAAUUUCGACCGCGCCUCUCCUUCUCCCGCUUGAAGCCCCUCAAGUUCUCCAGAACAAUCAAAGCAGUAGCCGCCGAUGACGACACCAUAGAGGCACCAGCAAAAGAAGAGGCUGCAUCGGUUGGGUUCACCCCACCAAAAAAAUGACAUUGUAUAUCUCUUGGGCUGGAAGAAAAUUAAAUUAAUGAAGGUGGUGUUACUUGUCAUAAGAGUACUUGGCCUCGGACUUUGUGGCUGGUGGCAGGAAUGUAUUGGUCUCCAUCUCCAUUAGAAGCUAUAGUUGCUGCAUUACUUGUGAUCAAUUUAAUGUUUGGCUUGCUCUGCCUAGCAUAUGCAUUACUUGUGCCGUGUUAGCAAACAACCUUCAGCUUUCACAGGGAUAUCAAAGGGGCUAACAUUCUAGUUGAUCCUAAUGGUGAAAUCAAGUUGACAGACUUUGGAAUGGCUAAACAUGUCAGAAAUUAUAAGCAUUGCUUGGUCUGGUAGUCCCACUUUGCCUUUUGGAGAUAUAUAUAUAGAGAGAGAGAGACCCAGAUUUUUUUAUCGGUGGAAUAUGAAUAGUUGAAUACUAGAUUACUCUAGGUGGGAAAAUAUAGUGACCAUUUGUUUUUUCAGACUCCCAUAUCAAUGGUUUAAUAAAUAUUUUUUUAAAAUAUUAUUUGUGGAUUUUCCUUUUGGGUGAUGGGCCAGCUUGUGACUUGUGUUCAUUGGAUCAAAGGCCCCCCGUCAAACAUGAUUGAGUUGAGCUAUUAGCAGUAUGUGUAUGGCUAUUAUUUGUGUACGGCUAUUAUUUGGUUUUCCUCUUGUGUAUUUGUGUAUGGCUAUUAUUUCCUUGUUAUUUAAUCAAAUGCACAAGCUAUUAAUAGUUUCAGUAUUGUGAAUUUGGUUUUCCUCUGCUUGUGUAUUUGUGUAUGGCCAUUAUUUCCUUGUUAUUUAAUCAAAUGCACAAGCUAUUAAUAGUUUCAGUAUUGUUUCUAUUCUUUUCUUUUACAUAAGUACGUAACCUCAUGGCUGGGGCCAAAUUGC